rnacentral:rRNA from 1 species
UACGGAGGGUGCAAGCGUUGUUCGGAAUCACUGGGCGUAAAGGGCGUGUAGGCGGUCUAUCAAGUCCGGUGUGAAAUCCCCUCGCUCAACGAGGGAACUGCGCCGGAAACUGACAGACUAGAGUACCGGAGAGGAAGGUGGAAUUCCCGGUGUAGCGGUGAAAUUCGUAGAUAUUCGGAAGAACACCAGUGGCGAAGGCGACUCACUGGACGACUGUUGACGCUGAGGUGCGAAAGCGUGGGGAGCAAACAGG